GAUGAACGCUAGCGGCAGGCUUAAUACAUGCAAGUCGAGGGGCAGCAGGACUGUAGCAAUACAGUUGCUGGCGACCGGCAAACGGGUGCGGAACACGUACACAACCUUCCUAUAAGUGGGGAAUAGCACAGAGAAAUUUGGAUUAAUACCCCGUAACAUAAUGAUGUGGCAUCACAUUAUUAUUAUAGCUUCGGCGCUUAUUGAUGGGUGUGCGGGUGAUUAGAUAGUUGGCGGGGUAACGGCCCACCAAGUCUACGAUCAGUAGCUGAUGUGAGGGCAUGAUCAGCCACACGGGCACUGAGACACGGGCCCGACUCCUACGGGAGGCAGCAGUAAGGAAUAUUGGUCAAUGGACGCAAGUCUGAACCAGCCAUGCCGCGUGAAGGAUUAAGGUCCUCUGGAUUGUAAACUUCUUUUAUCUGGGACGAAAAAAGGCGAUUCUUCGUCACUUGACGGUACCAGAUGAAUAAGCACCGGCUAACUCCGUGCCAGCCGCCGCCGUAAUAC
rnacentral:rRNA from 1 species